AAGAUCACAGGACAAUAAAAAGUUUUUUCUUGAACUGUAAUAGCACUUGUUGUUUGUAGACAUGAUGUGUCUCUUUGUCUCCACUGUUUCUUAUUCCAUCUCUUGUCUCCUUGUCUCUGCACUUGAAGAUGGCAGACAGUGAAACUCUGCUGACCACACUGAGUUACAUUAUUGAACCAUGACAGUAAGACACAGCUGUGGCACCAAACAGACAGAGGUAAUAAUCAGAGAGAACAGUUCAUGUUCAUCAACACACAGCUGCUGUGUGGAGUUUUACACAGAAAACAACAGAGACAGAUGUUCACAUCUUAAACCACCAGAGACAAUGCUCUGAGAAACAUUUGAAACUUCUGAAUGUGUAGAGAUUCAUUCAGCUUCCAUCAGCCUGAUUGGAAACAGAGCACAGCAAGAGGAGGAGCUACACAACUGAAUAUGAAAGGCUUCAUUUUGGAACUGAAGAGCUGCUGUGUUCUCUCUAUUCUUCAUUCAGGACAAGUCAAAUGAUGCUACUGCUUUUAGUUUGGAUGAUGAUAGUCUCCUUUCAUACUGGAUCCUCUGAGGAUUUAGUGAAACCAUCUAAAGAUGUAAUGAUGGCUUUGGAAGGAGACACUGUGACUCUCUCCUGCAGCUAUUCUCAGUCUGUACAAAACCUCUACUGGUAUCAACAGAAGUCCAGUUCAUCUCCACAGCUUCUCA